rnacentral:rRNA from 1 species
GACGAACGCUGGCGGCGUGCUUAACACAUGCAAGUCGAACGGAAAGGCCCUGCUUGCAGGGUGCUCGAGUGGCGAACGGGUGAGUAACACGUGGGUGAUCUGCCCCUUACUUUGGGAUAAGCCUGGGAAACUGGGUCUAAUACUGGAUAGGACCAUGCUGUAGGUGGUGGGGUGGAAAGAUUAGUUUCGGUAAGGGAUGAGCUCGCGGCCUAUCAGCUUGUUGGUGGGGUAAUGGCCUACCAAGGCGUCGACGGGUAGCCGGCCUGAGAGGGUGGGCGGCCACAUUGGGACUGCGAUACGGCCCAGCCGCCUACGGGAGGCAGCAGUGGGGAAUAUUGCGCAAUGGGCGCACGGCUGAUGCAGCGACGCCGCGUGGGGGGUGACGGCCUUCGGGUUGUAAACUCCUUGCGGCCAUGACGAAGCCCUUGUGGUGACAGUAGUGGUAGAAGAAGCACCGGCUAACUACGUG